CUAAAAAAAUAAAAAAAAUAAUUUUUUAAAUUUUGUUCUGAAUUAUACUAUUUCGAAAUUCAAACCCUAAACCCUAAAACUCAACUCUAAGCCCUAAACCCUAAAACUCAACUCUAAGCCCUAAACCAUCAAUCCUAAACCCUAUUUUUUUUAAAUAAACCUUAAACCCUGAAACAUCAACUCUAAACCCUAAAUCCCGAAACAUCAAUUCUAAACCCUACACCCUAAACCUUCAACUCUAAACUCUAAAACAUCAACUCUAAACACUAAACCCUAAACUUCAACACUAAACCCUAAACCCUAAAAAGUAAACUCUAAACCCUAAACCCUAUAAAUUAACCCUAAACCCUAAAAAAUCAACUGUAAACCCUAAACCCUAAACUUCAACUCUAAACCCUAAACCCUAAAUUCUAAAUCCUAAAUCCUAAAACCCUAGAGUUGAUGUUUUAGGGUUUAGAUUUGAAGAUUUAGGGGUUAGGGUUUACGUUUAGGGUUUAGAGUUGAUGUUUUAGGGUUUUAAUUUGAAGGUUUAGGGUUUAGGGUUUAGAGUUGAUGUUUCGGGGUUUAGGGUUUAGAGUUGAUGUUUCAUGGUUUAUGGUUUAGAGUUGAUGAUUUAGGGUUUAAAGUUGAUGUUUUAAGUUUAGAUUUAGGGUUUAGGGUUUACGUUUAGGGUUUGGGUUUAGAUUUGAAGUUUUAGGGUUUAAGGUUUAGAGUUGAUGUUUCAGGGUUUGAGGUUUAGAGUUGGUGUUUCAUGGUUUAGGGUUUAGAGUUCAUGGUUUAGGGUUUAGAGUUGAUGUUUUAAGUUUAGAUUAGUUAACCGUAUGUUUUUUUCUUUCAAAAGUGGUCAAAACGUUAUAAAUGUCUUUUACCCCUCAUUAAAGAUGAAGGUAAAAGUGGUUAGUGUAAACAUGAAAAGUGGUACUUUGAAAAUGGUAUUUUUAGCAAUUUUCCGUGUUUGUUAUUGUGUUUUUGUUUUAUAUAUAUAUAUCAGGUCAUCAAAAAAUUUAGACUUGAACCCGAAAUAUACUUCAUUAGCAUUAUUUAUUUGCAGAAUUCACCAGGAUAAUUUAUCUAAGUCAUCAAGAUUAUGGACAAUAUAGCAAACUCCACCAAAAUAUUUUAACAUCAAUUUUUUUUAACAAAUUCUCAUUAUAAAUAUUUGAUUAUAAAUUAUUUUGAAUUUAAUUUGUAUAUGUGUUUUUAUAAUAUUGACUUGUAACUUUUUAGGCUACUACUAAACAUUAACUUUAUAUGUUUCAUCCAAAUGUUUAAAAAUCCUAAUCAAGAUCAUAAAGUAAGAAGGAUAAUAAUCAAUUGAGUAGAUAAACAAGAGAUAAUAAUUUGUCAAGGAACACAAAUUUAAAUUUCUCAUAGUUAAAGUAAGAAGGAUAAUAAUCAAUUGAAUAGAUAAACAAAAGAUGAUUAUUUAUCAAGGAACACAAAUUUAAUUUUCUCAUAUUUAAUCGCGACAUUGGCAGUUACUUUCAAAUUUUAUCAUUUGAAAUGUAUUAUUUAAUCAAGAUGAUUCGUAAUUGGGACUCAGACUUUAUUUUGGAAAUCACCUUAUACAUAGAAAAAAUCUUAUCUUUCAUCCUUGUAAUGUAUAACUAAGAUUAUCAAACAGUCGUCACACGAAGUCUGCUCCGUAAAUAUUUAGUGGACUUCAGACGAAAUAUCCGUUCAUUAGCUAAAAGUCUAACGAAAUAAGAAAUAUGACUAUUCCAUAAAAUUAACUUAUUAACUUGUAAAAUUUAUUAAUAAGAAAGACAAUUCACAAACACACAUACAUGAAGGAACAAACCAAUUCUAAAAAUUCGUUAUGAAUAUGAAGAAAAUGAAAAUUUACAAAAUAAAAAAAGGAAGAAUUAUUUCAAAGGCUGCUCGAGGAGACUUAAGAAAAUGAAAAUUUACCAAAAUAUACAAUGAAUACUUACUCGAGGAAACUUAUUAAAUAUAUCUACUUGAACAGUCUUUGUAUGAAUUAUGCUAUGAUAAUCAUGUUACGUUUGUAAUUGACCAAACCAGAAUUAGACUUUCCGGAGUAGAAUUCAAAUGAAGUAUAUGCGAAAAUGACAGGUUAUUUUUGCAACCGACAAUAAUUGACUUUAUCAUAUCAGAUUUUACAUAAAAUCUGAAAAUGUAAUAUUUCAUGUGAAGACUGCUCUCAAGACUAGGGAUUAGUUUUGUGUUAGACUAAAAUUUCGAAAUAAACUAACAGAAGGUUUUGGCUGAAGUAUGCUCUAUUUUUAAAUAGAAGAUUUCACACGAAGUCUUCUAUUUGAUUUUUAUUUUUUGGGUUAAAUAUUUUGACAUUUUUGUUAAACAAAAAAAAUAACAUGAGCUGACUUAUUUUGACAAAGUGGAGAUUUCAUGUGGCAUCUAAAGAAAAUUCAUGUGUAGUCUCGAUUCAGAAGACUUCUCCUGAAAUCUGCUGUCAAAAACUCAAAAUUUUGGUCAUAUGCAAAAUUAAUCCGUUGUAACAGAGACUUUGCAAGAAGUCUACUCGAUUUUUUUAUGUUUACAAAGGAUAAAUAGCAAUUUCAUGUGAAAUCUUCAUUGAACACAAAAUGGUCAAUUACAAAACAAACGUACAUGUUUAUCUUGAUACUUGACAUGAAAUAUUUCCGGAGGAAAAAAAAUUAUUCGAAAUCUGCUUUCGCGAUACAUAUCUGAAAAGAAGUAACAUUAAGUUAAUAGUUAUUUAGUUCCGGUGAGAGUUCAUGUUUAGCUUCUUCAAGCACUUGUCAUUUUUAAUUUCAGCUGAAUGAAAGAUACUUAGUCGCUAAUAACCAAAAAUCAUCAAACUCAAACUUGAUGAGUUUAAGGAAAAUAUGAUUUUGAAAAACAAAAGGUUGAGAGGUUUUUGAAUGAAAUUAAAGAAAAAUAGAAGAUAAUGGAGUUGUGUGUGUAAAGAAUGAGAGAACAAGAGUCCACAAAUAGAUUAUAAGAAUUUAGAGCAUCAAUUUUGGUUGUUCAUAGUAAUUGGCAAAAUUAAUGGUGAUGGUAUUUACUUAAAUAAUUAAAGGUGUUUAAGCUAUUUGAGACACUUUUGGGUUUCGUGAAAACAUUACACAAAAUGAGGUGGUUUUCUUAAGUAGCAUGAUAUGUUAGAGAUGAUAAGGUUGAAAAUGGCAAAAUAUAGUGAGGUGAAAAAAUUAUUAGUCUUAUGCUUGACAAAAAAUUAAGUUAUUUUUGUAGGUCACCCUGAAAUUAAUACAAUAUAUCCAAACGCAAUUAAGAAAAGUAUAGGGUCUGAUUGGUAAGGGCUGUAGCUUUAAAAUUUUUGCUGUAGAAAAAAAUCUGUAGACUUUUUGUUGUUGCUUUAGAUUUUAUUGCUGUAGAAUUUUAUGGAAAGCACUAAAAAAUUGCUGUGGAUAUUUGGCACUGGAGAGCACUUGUACAGCUGUAGGUUAUUUCAAGAGCUGUGGUUUCAAAAAAAAAUUAAAGCUUGAUUGCUCUGAAUUUAAUUUAAAGCUUGAUUGCUCUGAAUUUGGUGCUUUAGAAAUAAAUAGAGCUUUAGACAACACCUACAGCAACUACCAAUCACCCCAUAGUAAUGGAAGAUUCAUUUCUUUAACACUAUAAAUUAUUUUCUUACAGGUAUAAAUUCCUUGUUUUUUUAGUAAGUUAACAAAAGAUAUAUUGUAAUGAUAUUAUCCCGUUAAUAAAAAAAUUAUUUGAAAUAUCUGUUUGUUGUCGAAAAAAUAGACAAAAUGAUAUUUUCCUAAAUGACUUGAUUUGUUGUUAUUUUAUACUAUACUACACCAAAAAAAUAGUUGAUAUGUUAUAGAUGAUAUAGGAUAAAAAUAGCAAAAUAUGGUAAGGUGAAAAAGAGCAAAUAUUCUAUACAUUUGACCAAAAAUUUGGGUCAUUUUUCCAAGUCACCCUGCAAUUAAUAACAAUAUAUCUCAAUGAAAUUAAUAAAAAUAUAUCAUAAUCUUCUUAAACAGAAGAUUCAUUUUUGGACAUACACAAGAUUCAUUUCCUUACCAAUCUAAAUUAUAAUGGUAUUAUCCCAUUUAAAAUAAAACCUGUAGGUAAUUUUGUGAGAGACUAAGAAUGAGAUAUUGUUUUAUAAUACUAGCCAAAAUUCUGUGUAACUAGUAUUGUGUUUUAAAUUAAAGAUCAUUACAAAAUAAAAAAAAUGGAUAACUCAUUAUAUAUAAAAAUACGUAUAGAAAUCUAGAUUUACUAAAAAAGCAGUAAAAGAUUUUCUUUAAGAAAAAAUGAAAACACUAAUCAAUCAAAUUUCCCCCUCAAAUAAGUGGCCAUAAAAUGAAAUAGAUAUCAAUUCAUAAUCAAAUACAUAAAUCUGGAUAACAUAUAUGUAAUACAUGCAUGUAUAUAUAUAUAUUCACAUUUCACCUAUUGAGAACUCAUUAUAUUGGCAAAUUAUAAACGUCUCGAUAAUGGCUUCCCUUGGCUUGAUCCUCUAUCUUUCCUCGGUUCUUCUCAUGAGCCUUUGUCAGUUUCCUACAGCUAUUGAGGAUGAUAGAAAGGCAAGCCAUUGCUGUUAUAUAUAUGUCUCGUUACCAUAUUUAACUAUCUAUGUUUUUUUUGUAUUAGCCUAUUCAUCGUUAUAGCAUUUUGUUUGACGCAGGUAUAUAUUGUUUACAUGGGAGCUCUUCCUUCAAAAGCUUCUUACACUCCUAUGUCUCACCAUCAUAAUAUCCUUCAAGAAGUUGUCAAAUCAAGGUUUAAGACUCUGUCAGCCCUAUCAUUUAUUGUAAACGUCAUCGUUUAUUACUUGUCUUUAUUUUCUCUUUUGUUAUGCAGCUCCGUAGAAGAUUCUUUGGUCAGAAAUUAUGGAAGAAGUUUCAACGGUUUUGCAGCCAAACUCACUGAAUCUGAAAGAGACAACCUUGCUGGUGAGAUAUAUGUUUAUAUAUUAAAGAAAAAAGAUUAUUUAACUCACUAUUAUGGCUAUUUCAGUGUUGAUAAUGUUAUGUGUGAUAUCUGUGAAGGCCUGGAAGGUGUGGUUUCGGUAUUCCCAAGCACCUUUUAUAAGCUUCUUACGACAAGGUCUUACGAGUUCAUGGGACUUGGUGACAAGAGCAAGCAAGUUCCUGAGGUGGAGACCAAUACAAUAGUUGGUGUAAUAGACGGAGGAAUAUGGCCUGAAUCCAAGAGCUUUUCAGACGAAGGCAUUGGCCCUAUACCAAAAAAAUGGAAAGGAACUUGCGCUGGAGGAACUAACUUCACAUGCAACAAGUUAACAACAUAUUCUAACCUCUUCUCCAAGUUUCUUGCGUGCAAAGCAAGGAUUGAAUGAGAGAUUAACUAACCCUAAUCCAAAUUCUACAGAAAGGUGAUUGGAGCACGACACUAUGUUCAAGACUCGGCGAGAGAUGAUGAUGGUCACGGGUCACACACGGCUUCAACAGCAGCUGGAAACAAAGUAAAAGGAGUGAGUGUAAACGGUGUGGCCAAAGGAACGGCUAGAGGUGGUGUGCCUCUAGGUAGAGUUGCCGUUUACAAAGUUUGCGAGCCAGCAGGUUGCAACGCAGAAGGUAUUUUAGCUGCGUUUGAUGAUGCUAUAGCCGAUGGAGUCGAUGUUAUAACCAUUUCCAUGGGAGGAGGUGUUACUAAAGUCGAUGUUGACCCUAUCGCUAUUGGAUCAUUUCAUGCCAUGACCAAAGGGAUUGUUACCACAGUAGCUGUCGGGAAUGACGGUUCUAAACUUGGACUAGCGUCUAACCUUGCACCAUGGCUCAUAUCCGUGGCUGCAGGUACAACUGAUCGAAGAUUUGUUACUGAUGUGGUUAAUGGAGAUGGCAAGACGCUUCAUGUAAGAACUGAUUCUCUUUUCUUAAUUUAUUCAGUUGGUCUAUGAAUGCAGGUUGGUCUUUACAUUUUAGGGAGUAUAGACAAUUUAGUAAAAACUUAAAAUUGUAAUAAAUUUUUUUUGUUGAAAUUUUUGGGUUUAUGCUUAUAUAUUAUUAACCAUAAAACUUUAGGAACCAUAGAUCAGUGUCUCACUUACAUAUGUCCAGGACCGACUGUGUAUGAAUGUGAUUGUAGCCACUAGCCAUCAUUAGUCAUGGCUGACUAAAGUAUGAAUACAGGGAAGAUCGAUCAAUGACUUUGACUUAAAGGGAAAGAAGUACCAAUUGGCGUAUGGAAAAACUGCUUCAAAUAACUGCACAGAGGAGCUAGCAAGGUAACUUGUAAUUCAAGGAUUGACCCUAACUUGCGACUCAAGAACUAGAUGGAACUUUACCGUUAAUGAAAAUCUCUUCUUUUAUUUAUAUGUGUAUCCUAUGCUUAGGGGUUGCGCCAGUGGUUGCCUGAACACAGUGCAGGGAAAGAUCGUUGUGUGCGAUGUUCCAGAUAAUGUUAUGGAACCUAAAUCAAUGGGAGCUGUUGGAGUUAUCCUUCAUGUAACAGAUGUUGAUAGUCCCGGUCUUGGUCCAAUUCCGGUCACAACCUUAGAUGAUACCAACUAUGAUGCAUUCAGAUCUUACGUUCUCACCUCACCGUAAGAAUCUUUUCUAUAUAACUUUCUGUGAUUAGACUCUUUUGAAGAUAGUUAACACUUGCGGAUAUUCAUUAACAUAGAAACCCACAAGGAACUAUACUGAAGACUGAGACGGUUAAAGACAACAAUGCUCCGAUUGUUGCUUCCUACUCUUCUCGUGGUCCAAACACUCUCUUUAGCGACAUUUUGAAGGUACCACUCGAUACAAAUUUCACAUAACUUUGUGUCGUAAAUCUACAUUUGUUGGACAUUAAAAGGUGAAUAUGUAUGCAGCCUGAUAUAACAGCUCCAGGAGUGAAUAUCUUAGCAGCAUAUUCACCAUUGGGUCAAACUGCACUUCCUGGACAAAGCGUGGGCUACUAUUUCAUGUCUGGAACAUCUAUGGCUUGCCCUCAUGUCGCUGGUGUAGCUGCAUAUGUCAAGACAUUCCAUCCUGAUUGGUCUGCUUCUGCUGUCAAAUCUGCUAUCAUGACUACUGGUAAUUAUCAAUAUAUUUCCCUGAAGAAAUAAUGCAAGUGAUGUGACACCCGAAUCGGUUCUUUUUGGUUUUGUUGCAGCUUGGGCAAUGAACGCUUCAAAAAAUGCAGAAGGUGAGUUUGCAUACGGAUCAGGACAUGUUAACCCUACAGUGGCAGUUGAUCCAGGGCUUGUUUACGACAUAGCCAAAGAGGAUUACUUAAACAUGCUCUGCUCUUUCGACUACUCAGCCAAAGGCAUUAGUACUCUCGGCGGUGGAGACUUUACUUGUUCCGAGAAAUCAAAGCUGACCAUGAGAAAUCUCAACUACCCUUCAAUGACAACCAAAGUUUCAGCUUCUUCAUCAUCCUCAGAUAUCACAUUUUCAAGAACGGUAACCAACGUUGGGAGAAAUAUAUCCACUUACAAAGCAAAACUGACUGGGAACCCUAAACUCAGUAUCACGGUUGAGCCACAGACACUCUCUUUUAAGUCAUCUUGGGAGAAGAAGAGUUUCACUGUUACCGUCUCCGGCAAGAGUCUUGCACAAAUUUCUGGUAUUGUGUCAGCAUCUCUGGUUUGGUCGGAUGGAACACACAAUGUGAGAAGUCCUAUUGUUGUAUAUACUUAGGUAUCAACACCAAACUAAAAUAAAAAUAAAAGUAAUUGAUGUUAUGGUCCCAAACUAAGUCUUAGGUUAUGAUACAAACAGGGUUUAACUUCUGAAACUCUAAUUAUCACCCUUCCCCGGAAACAUUCCUUCCAUGAAUUCGUCGAAGUUUUCAUCAUCCUUGCCUUCUCUCUCACAACCUUCCAGCUUGGACUUGUUCUUUUUUCCUGCCAUUAUGAAAGACAACUUUGUUCAUUCCCUUCUGAGAUUUUUAUAAUCCAUAACCUAUCACAAAAUCUGAACCUAGCCUCCCUUCAAUAGACUAGACACAUUAUAUAGCAAGCUUGGUAAAUUCCACACCUUUUCUCCUUUCCUCUUCCUCUAUGUCAUCUUCACUACUUGAUCGAUUCCUGAGAUCCAAAUUAUAUUUAGCUCAAGAGAAAACCAUAACCCUUAGGUUGUAAUAUGAUACUGAUUUCAUUAUCAAUACCGUUUACGUUUCUGCCUUUUCUUUUCUUUACUCUCUGAUCUUUCAGCAUCCUUUCCUCUUUUGUAGUAAAGCUUCUCAGCACAUCUAGUGACAUUAAAGAAAUAGAAAAGAGGGUUGUCAAGCUUUACUGGAGACCAAGCAAGUGGUAUAGAAAAGCAUAUAAACAAAAUAAGUAUUGAUCAUUGCCGUAGGUACUUAAUUUCCAAAACCACCACCAAAACUUUUCUUCAUAAUCAAUAUAAAAAACAGAGAUGAACAGGCUGUAUAAUGAGUGACUCUAGUACCUCUCACAAGUUACGAGUUUAACAAGGGCUUGUUUGUGUUCUCCAGCUUCGUGAUAAGAAAAAUUCACCUGCAAAUUCAACAAGCUUAACGAGAUAAUCAGACACACACAGAGACAUCGAAAAGAAGUCAUUUAGAAAUUUUCUAAAGAUACAUGCCUCAUAGCUCGCUAACCCUUCUAUUUCAUGACAUUGUUUGCUCCCACACAUAAACUGCCCUGACAGAGAAGCAAUGCAUUUAAACUCAAAAACUCUUAUCAUAGAUACGUCCAUGAAAAAAUUAGAAUCUUUAGUAAUAUAAACCUUUGCCUGACAUUACUUCCUUUUCCGUUCUCCAUCUUAAACCCAUCUACAAACAUUCAGAAUAAGCCAACUGAACAAAAAGUACUAUAGGAAAACAAGAUGAGAUGAAGUAUCCAUACACCAGAUUUUUAUACCUGACCAGUCUUGUAUCUUGACAUGUCAGCUAUACAGUAUCUUAAAUCAGUCAAGGAGAUAAAAAGACAUGAACUCAUCAACACUCUCACAACAACAAAAAAAGUACUUGUAACUUUGAAUAAGUUAUAUCUAAGCAGCUCAAUGUGGUAAAGGAUACUCCUUAAAAAGCUUAUCAUAGUAUCGCUUCACCAGCCUUUGCUCCCAAGAAGGGUUCAAAUCAUCUUCUUCAGAACGUAUAAACCUUUGCAAGUAAAAACCCCAAACUUCAUGAGUAAACAUACAAACAAGUUUCCAAAGAGAUGAGAAGAUACAAAAACAAAACGCAAGAAACCAUUUUUUUGUAAUCAAAGAAAACAGAAGCGAGAGUUUCAACAAGAAACAACAUUAUACAAGAGUGCACCAUACCGGUAUCCUUCUCUAAGUGUGUCGUGGUCGGUUUUAAGCGGGAGCUUGACUUCUGUCGGCUUGUCCUUGCCAUAGAAACGAACUGCAAAGUAAAUAGGCUUUAAUAAUAUACUAUGAGACUCCACAACUAGUAGCUAUUCCAAGGCAACAAAAAGGAAUGAUCUUUUCUUAAAGGGUACUAAGAAAAAAAGAAGAAGAUGUAAGGCUGACUGUAGCCUCCUUCGAAGCUCAGAGGAGAAGACUGUUCAUCAACCAAGAUUUGAUUUUGGGACAAUAUGGAUUCGGAUAAAAAAGAAAAGCUCUCUUAUUUACCCCCAAUUCAUUGUCCCUUUUAACCUCCUUAUACGAAGAAGCUACAAGACAAGCGCAUGGAGAAAGAAGGGUACCGUAGUCUUUCAAGAACUUCUUGUGGCGUUCAUAAGCAUUGAGGCCACGAAUGUGCGCUUGGUAUUGCCUGUAGAAGAGACCAAUGAUAUUAACAAAAGACUAAGAAGACGUAAUCGAUUGUGAGGGAGAGAUAGAGAAGGAAGAUUAACUGCUUGCGUUCUUCUCGGUCGUAAAUUUCAGAUCUGAUAGUUGCCGAAGAAGCCAUUAUCCUCCGAUGUCGUCAACCUUUAGGUCGUUUUAUAAUAGGCUGGCCUAUGUAUGGGCCUUUGUGCUUAAAUUUAAUUUGGGCAACUCGAUUCGGUUUGGAAACGUUAUAAGGGGGUUUCUACACCAGACCAGAGUUCACUUUCCAUAGUUAGUUGAUCAUCGUAUCCCUAAACAUUGGCUAAACAUGAUCUGUGAUCUGAUUUGUAUAUGUAUCAUCAUCAUAUUCAAUUUCGACAAAAAAAAAAAAUGAUGACAUGCAUUAAUCUAAUUAUCACAUAUACUUUUUCUUUAUAAAAAUUAAUAUUUUUGGCAAAGUUUUUUAUAUGGUAAUGACAUUAACUCAUAUAUGUAAACAUGUUUGGUUUCUGGUUUUGUUCCAGUUCCGGGUUCUUUUUUGUUUUUUUUCAUUUUACAAAUUUAAGAACCAUUCGGUUUAUUAGAAAAUUUUGGUUCUAUUUUGGUUUGGUUCGGAUAACGAUAUUAGGAAUCUGCUAGUAUCUACUAAAAUUUUGUUUCUAAUUCAGUUCCGGUUCGGUUCCAUUUUCAGAUAAUUAUGGAUAAUUCAUGUAAAAAUAGAUUUUUGAUUUUAUCGGAUUAAAUAUCAGGUAAUUUGGAUAAAAUUACAUAUUUUGGAUUAAAAUUAUUCAUGCAAUUUGGUUUUCAGGUAAUUCGAAUAAUUUUAAAUAUGUUAUAUAAAAAUAUUUGGGUAAUUUGUUUUUUUUAUAAUUUAGUUUUUAAGUAAUAUUUUUUAGAAUAUUUAGUAAUUUCAAAAUCAAAUAUAAAUAAUAUUUUUAGUGUAUUCUCGGUUCAGUAUGGAUUUUUUGGUUAGAGAUAUAGUAAAGGUUGGUUAUUUGUGAACAUCGGCUUGGCUUUUAGUUUGUUUUUUAGUUUGGUUUCAGUUUGGUUUUUGGUUUAUAUGCACAUACCUGCGUAAGUAAGUGGAAUUGUCUAAGUUGGACGGAUACUCCUCCGGCUAGUUAAAUUUUAUUGUUUUUAAUUAGGGGUUUUUGCCAAAACUAACCCACAACUUGAUUUUAAUCCCAAACCUAUACCCAAACUUAAAUCAAAUGCAAAACUAACCUAAAAGCCUAGUGAAAUUACAGCUCAACCCCUUGUGACCAAACAAAAAAAUAGAAGCCAUUUUUACGAAUAUAGCCCCAGUAAAUCGUUUGAGUCGUCCGGAUGUUGGAAGUCGUCUGGACGACUGAAGUUUAAGUCGUCUGGUACCAGUUUAUUUUAAAAAUAAUUUAUAAAUCUUGUAAAAAAAUAUUUUGAUGCGUGAAAAAUAAAAAUCAAGUAAUUAUAAACAGUUUUAAGUGAUAUAAAUUAAGAUAUGAUAAAAUUGAUUUGUUUUGAAGAUAGAUGAGUGGAAGUAGUGAAUCAUGAAAUACUUUGGUUUAGGAGUUUGGCAAACAUAUGUUGUAGUAUUGUAUGUAUUGUUAGGGCUAGAUUUUGGAAAACUAAAAUGUUUUUUUCAAAAAUUAGUUUUUACCUAUAUGUGUUUAUUUAUGUGUACAGUAAACACUUUUCAAGUUUGAUUUGAUUUUAUGAAGUCUUUAAUUAGAUAAUUAAGUUUAGGGGUUAUGUUUAGGGUGUGGACGACUUAUAUUUCAGUCGUCUGUUGAAUAAUUUACUCGGACGACGUAUAUUUUAGUCGUCUGUUGAAUAAUUUACUCGGACGACUUACAUUUCAGUCGUCUGGUGAAGAAAUUAAAACAGAUGACUUACAUGUAAGUCGUCCAAAUAUUCCCGCCUAAAAUUUUUUUAAAAAAUUAUUUUCCCGCUUAAAUAAUUUAAACCAGACGACUUACUUGUAAGUCGUCUAGAAAGUCUUCUAUUUUAGUUUCCCACUAAAAAUAUUUAACUUCCCGCUAAAAAUAUUAAACUCUUCUGGACGACUUACAUGUAAGUCGUCUGUUUUAAUUUCUUCACCAGACGACUGAAAUAUAAGUCGUCUGCUUUAAUUUCUUCACUAGACGACUGAAAUGUAAGUCGUCCAGGAAGUCGUCUGAGUACUUAAACUCUUCUGGACGACUUACAUGUAAGUCGGCUGUUUUAAUUUCUUCAGCAGACGACUGAAAUAUAAGUCGUCUGCUUUAAUUUCUUCACUAGACGACUGAAAUGUAAGUCGUCCAGGAAGUCGUCUGAGUAAAAAAUAUUUAAUCUAAUUGGAUUUUUUGUCUCCCUAUAUAAAGAAAAAUUUACACAUUCUCUCUCCUCCUCUCAAAUGGCUGCAACAAAAAUGUAAUGUUCAUCAUUCUAAAACUCUCCAACCUCUCUCUAAUCUCUUUGACUUGAAAACACCAAACUUUAUAUGAAUUUUUCAAUUUUGUCUCAUGUAUUUCUUACUAAUCUAUCUCUUUUACAGGUUUUUAAUCAAAUGGUACUCAUCUUCCAUUAAUUUAAAGGUAGAUCUAUUAUUUUUAGAUAUGUAUUUUUGUGUGUUCUAUAAAUGUAGAUUUAUCUAAUCUUCCACUCAUUUUCUCUAUUUUUAAGUCAUUUGAACGUUUUUGGAUAUGCAGGUUUUUCAGAUCUGGAUUUGAAAUGCAGGUUUUUCAGAUCUGGAAGACUUCUUGGACGACUUACCUGUUAGUCGUCUGGAAGUCGUCUGGACUUCUUGGAAGUCUUCUGACAAAGUCGUCGUCUGGACUUCCAGGAAGUCGUCUGGACUUCAGGGAAGUCGUCUGGACUUCAUGGAAGUCUUCUGACGAAGUCUCCCUUUCAUAAUAGAUCUGAGCGUUUUGGUAAGUUCUUAUGUCUGAUUUUUCUUCAUUUGGGAACUUCUUGUUGUAUAAAGUUCUUACUUUUUUCCCAAACUAAAACUCUCCAAACCCACUCUAAUCUCUUUGACUUGAAAACACCAAACUUUAUAUGAAUUUUCCAGUUUUGUCUCAUGUCUUUCUUACUAAUCUAUCUUUUUUGCAGGUUUUUAAUUAGAUGGUACUCAUCUUCCACUAAUUUAAAGGUAGAUCUAUUAUUUUUAGAUAUGUAUUUUUGUGUGUUCUGUAAAGGUAGAUUUAUCUAAUCUUUCACUCAUUUUUUCUGUUUUUAAGCCAUUUGAACGUUUUUAGAUAUGCAGGUUUUUCAGAUCUGGAUUUAAUAUGCAGGUUUUUCAGAUCUGGAAGACUUCUGGGACGACUUACCUGUUAGUCGUCUGGAAGUCGUCUGGACUUCUUGGAAGUCUUCUGACAAAGUCGUCUGGACUUCCUGUAAAGUCGUCUGGACUUCCUGUAAAGUCGUCUGGAAGUCGUCUGAACUUCCUAAAAGUCUUCUGACAAAGUCGUCUGAACUUCUUGGAAGUCGUCUGGACUUCUUAGAAGUCGUCUGGACUUCUUAAAAGUCGUGUGGUCUUGUCUACUCAAGUGGAAUCCAAGCUUGUCUUUGUAGAGGAAUGAUCUAUAAUAGUUUUGUUUGUGGUAUGUUUUGUGAAUUGCAUGUCUACUCUUUUAGUUGUGAAUUUUUUGUAAAACCAGUAAUAAUGUUUUCCAAGAUGUAUUAAAUGUGCUAACAAUGUGUUUACACAUUUACAAAUCAAUGAAAUAAUAGACUUCAGUAGCCUUUUUCUUAUCUUUGGAUCUCUCAUAUGCAAUAAUAAACUCCAAUGACCUUUUUCUCAUCUUAAUAAACAAGAAUGUUGGUAGCUUUAUAUUGAUACAACAUUUUAAGAAGUAUUUUAACCCUUCUUCCAACUCAUAACAAUAGUCAUCAUUAUUGUCUAUAACAAUAAUACUUAAGAGAUGGAAACAAACAAUAGUAACUAGUCAAAGCAUAUCAUAUUUUAUUAUAAGUUUGCGUUGAAAAACUUAGUCAAAUUUAGUAAAACUAAGGGAGAGAACAUAUUUUGUAAAUAUGAGUUUUACAUAUCUUGAAGUUACUUAUCACUCUUAAAAAUACAAGUUAUUCAAAAACUAAACUAGAAGACUUAAAAACUAGCGGAGAAGACGCGGACGACUUCAAUCUAAGUUGUCCAGACGACUAAACUAUACGUCGUCUGGUCAACACAGAGGUUAUUUUUGCAAUUGACUUUGAAAUCUGUUAUUUCGGACGACUGAAAAAUAAGUCGUCUACUAUUGUUUGGCUAAAAAAAACUCCAAAAAAGCUAGACGACUUACAUUUCAGUCGUCAUAGGUUAGUUUUGCAUUUGACUGGAUAAUUUCAGAAGUUUGACUUUUCUGGACGACUUACAUUUCAGUCGUCUAGUGAAAAUUAAAAUAAUAAUAUUUUUUUAAAAGUAGACGACUUACAGUUAAGUCGUCAUAGGUUAGUUUUGCAAUUGAAAAAAAAAACUUCAAGAUUUAAUUAUAUACAGACGACUUAUAAUUCAGUCGUCCGCGAGACGACUGAAAUGUAAGUCGUCCAGGAUUUACGAGGUUUGACCAGAAUCUCAGAAAAAAAUCCUGGACGACUUACAAGUAAGUCGUCUCGUGGACGACUGAACUAUAAGUCGUCUGUGUAUAAUUAAAUUUUGAAGUUUUUUUUUUCAAUUGCAAAACUAACCUAUGACGACUUAACUGUAAGUCGUCUACUUUUAAAAAAAUAUUAUUAUUUUAAUUUUCGCCAGACGACUAAAAUGUAAGUCGUCUGGAGAACUCAAACUUCUGAAAUUAUCCAGUCAAAUGCAAAACUAACCUAUGACGACUGAAAUGUAAGUCGUCUAGGUUCUUUGGAAAUUUUUUUGAAACCAAACAAAAACAGACGACUUAACUUUCAGUCGUCUCAGGUUACAGAUUUCAAAGUCAAUUGCAAAAAUAACCUCUGCGUUGACCAGACGACUUCCAGGUAAGUUGUCUACAGCCAGACGACUUCCCAAGUAAGUCGUCUGACGAACAGAUCUGGAAAAAAACUCGAUGUCAUACCUUAAAUUGGUGAGAUAAGUUCCUUAGCAUACAUAAGGCUUCUCCAAGCACACAGAAUCACAAACGAAAGUAACCCACCCAGAAUCGUUAGCUUCUAUGACUAUAUGAACCAUAAAAAAUUUAGAAUCAAAAUCUUGGGUUUUUUUAGCUCAUUGUGGAGAGAAAGUGAGAGAUAUGUUGUGUUUAGUUCACAAGAAUGGAAAAAAAAGAAGGGUAAAUCGAUUUUGGGAGCAUUAAGAGCUUCAAAUUGGUUGUUCAUGGUGGUUGUGGUAUUGAUGACAAUGACAAUCUUGUAAUUACUUGAAGAUGAUGAGGGUGAGAGAGUAAAAUGUCAUUUUCGAAAAAAAAAAAGAAAAAAAAAAUUGAUGGCAUUUUCGUAAAUUAUAUGAACUUGUGGGGUGAAUAGGGCAAAACUAAUUUUCAAAAAAAAAGGAGGUUAGUUUUGUGUUUGACUUUAAGUUAUAGGUCAAUUCUGCAAAAAAACCCUUUUAAUUAUUGUAGAAAAACUACCAGAAUCAAAGAUAGUAUUAAUACAAAUAGUUUAAACAUCUCCAUUAUAGAUAGUUUAAGACCAUGUACAACGGUUUCAACACCCAUUAUAUUUCAACACCCUAUUUUUU
rnacentral:lncRNA from 1 species